rnacentral:tRNA from 1 species
GUCUCUGUAGCUCAGUUGGUUAGAGCGCCGGUCCGCAGGUUCGAUUCCUGCCAGGGGCC